AAGAUUAAGCCAUGCAAAUGUAAGAACAGCAAGCUGUUCGCAUCCUUGGAUCGAGCAGAAAAAGUGAAUCUGUACACGGCUCAUUAAAUCAGCUUUGGUUCAAAGAGCUUUUCAAGUUACAUGGAUAACUUUGGAAAAUCUAGAGCUAAUACAUGCCACAAGAUUUCUUUGAUUUGGGCAACUGAAUCAAGGAGAUUGCACUUAUUAGAACGAGAUCCUGUGAGUCGCUCUGCGGCUCUCAGUUACUUGUUGACUCUGGAUAAGCAAAGUCGACGUCAAAAGUGUGCAUCAUUAGAUCACACUGGACGCAUCCUUUUCAAGUGUCUGCCCUAUCAAAUUUCGAUGGUAGUCUAUAUUACUACCAUGUUGAUCACGGGUAACGGGGAAUCAGGGUUCGAUUCCGGAGAGUUAGCCUGAGAGAUGGCUAACAGAUCUAAGGAUUGCAGCAGGCGCGCAAAUUGCCCACUCUCAAUACGAGGAGGCAGUGACAAGAAAUAAUCAUGCUUUCAAAUCAUUGCAAUGCAAUGUGGGAAGCAAUGAGCAUGAGACGGUCAUAAAUCCUCUAGUCAAGGAUCAAUUGGAGGGCAAGUCUGGUGCCAGCAGCCGCGGUAAUUCCAGCUCCAAUAGCGUAUACUAAUGAUGCUGAUGCUUAAAAGCUCCUAGUUGGAUUUGUAAGUGGACACAGUGAACAUUGCUCGAUUCCGUUUGGACUUGUAAGUAUGGGCUUGCUCUGAAAGGCACAAGUACCGCUUAUGAGGAGGGAUCCAAUGUCACUGCCACUCUUUUUGGUGUGGGAAUCGAUGAGAUGGCUACCUUAUUGGCAAGUGUCUCGCGGUUUUCAUCCAAAUUCAAACUAUGUCUUCAUCUCUGUGUUGUGCUUCAUUGUCACGGCAUGAGAAGAGGCAUUGAGUUUACCUUGAAAAAAUCAAAGUGCUCAAAGCAGAUGUUCUCUUUCUCGUUCGCGGGAUUGAAAACGCAAGUCUGUAUGUUGUUGCAUGGAAUAAUGGAAUAAGAUCUCGACGAUACGUGGGGUCUUGGUCGCUCGAGAGACAUGAUUAAAAGGGACAGACGAGGGCAUUUGUAUUGCAAGGGGAGAGGUGAAAUUCAUGGAUCCUUGCAAGACAAACAAAGGCGAAAGCAUUUGCCAAGAAUGUUUUCAUUAAUCAAGAACGAAAGUUUGAGGUUCGAAGGCGAUUAGAUACCGCUCUAGUUCAAACCAUAAACGAUGCUAACCAGCAAUCAGCCGUGACUCUGCGUCUUUUCGGGCUUGCGAACCACCUUGUGGGGGUCUCAAAAGACUGAAUUGAUUUUGGUUCGGCUGGCGGCUCUCUCUAUGUACGCGAAGGCUACCGAGUUUUCAAGUUCAUGGGGGAGUAUGGUUGCAAAGCUGAAACUUAAAGGAAUUGACGGAAAGGCACCACCAGGAGUGGAGCUUGCGGCUUAAUUUGACUCAACACGGGGAAACUCACGAGGUUCGGACACUUGCAUGAUUGACAGAUUGAGAGCUCUUUCUUGAUCAAGUGGGUGGUGGUGCAUGGCCGUUCUUAGUUGGUGGAUUGAUUUGUCUGCUUAAUUGCGAUAACGAACGAGACUCUAGCCUACUUUAAAUAUGUAAUAGAAUUUGGCGAUAGACGGUCUUGGUUUUGACUUCAUGUCGGCCAACGAUUCGUUUCUAUUUGCUCAAAUUGCUAUUAGAGCUCUGUGCUCGCUCAAACGGAGCUUCAGCUCAUGCUGAUAGCGAACUUUGACGACACAACCACGAGUUACUUCUUAGAGGGACUCGAGUUGAUAAAUACCAUUCAAACUCAUGAAGUGGAGCGAUAACAGGUCUGUUAUGCCCUAAGAUAUCCUCGGCUGCACGCGUGCUACACUGUUAGAGACAGCGGGCACAUUGGCGUGAAGCCUUCCUCCUUGGUGCGAAAGCAUGUCUGAAGGGACUCACUUAUGGUGGUCCACUUCAGUCGGGGAAUCCGGUGAACCUCUGUGAGAUUGACUCGCAAGAGUUGAAUUGAAACGUGAUUGGGAUAGGGGAUUGAAAUUAUUGCCCUUGAACGAGGAAUUCCAAGUAUUGGCGAGUCAUCCAGCUCGUCGAGAUUACGUCCCUGCCCUUUGUACACACCGCCCGUCGCUACUACCGAUUGGAUGUAUUGGUGAGGACUUUGGAGAUGGCUAAUUGUCGGGCUCUCAUGGGCUUGAUGAUCGCGCUCAUCGAAGCUGUUCGAACUGAUUCAUCUAGAGGAAGUAAAAGUCGUAA
rnacentral:rRNA from 1 species